GGACCACAUCCCUAGCUGCCCAGAGUGCAGGGAAGGAUCGGUCACAUUGACACGCUUGGGCAGCAGGCAUGUGCUUGCCGCAUGACCUUCUAGCUUCCUUCCUGGUCUCUCCUUGCAUUGGCCUGGCGUGGCCCAGAAUGUGUGGAGCAAAGACCCAGUUUCCUUGCUGCCCCAUCCCUCCCCAGGAGACACCGAGGGCCUGGAUGUCCGUGCAGGGACAGCCUGGCAGUUGUCUGAAGACCCCGGGAUGGGCCUAGGAGCUCAUCAUCAUCGGAUGCGCCCCGAGCAGAAGACGGAGAAGGAACACCACCCUGUGUGGUGUGUGUAGGGGCGUCACUGGGUUCUCUGGCUCCAUGACGCCCACCCCGCCCCGCUGGGGGCUGGCUUGGUAGAGCGGGGGAUACUAAGCAGGCGGCCUCGGAGAGCGUCUUCUGGGUUUGGAGGCCACAUUCCCCAGGAAGGAAGAGGUGGGGGACCCCUGCAGGGUUAUGGGUAACAUCAGGCCUGGGUCCCCUCCCUGGGGUGAUGCAGAGAGGGCCACAAAGGCCCAGGAGGGCCCCC
rnacentral:lncRNA from 1 species